UCCCGGCCGCAGCCCCGCCCCCUUGGCCUGGGUAACGCGUUCCCGGUUGCCGCGGAGACGCGCCGUUGACCCGUAGGUUUCGCGGAGCCGGGAGCUGCAGGUGGGUGAGGGCGCCGCCCGGGAGCCGCGUGGUCGGUGGUUCCCGGAGGACUUUGGGAAGCUGCGAUGGCCAGACUUCUGCAACCUCCGCCCAAGUUCCUGCCGGCAGAAUGGCACAUGGCGAACGAGAACCAGUACCACAGAGCGGAGGCCGAGAGGUCCCGCUCCGAGCGCCUGGUGGCAGAAAGCCAGAGGCUUGUGGAGGAGAUCGGAAAGACCACAAGAAAGUCUCAAAGCGACGUGAACAAGAAACUA